rnacentral:rRNA from 1 species
GACAGAGGGUGCAAACGUUGUUCGGAAUUACUGGGCGUAAAGCGUGUGGAGGCGGCCACGUAAGUCGGAUGUGAAAGCCCUGGGCUCAACUCAGGAAGUGCACUCGAUACUGCGUGGCUUGAGUACUGGAGAGGUUUGUGGAAUUCUCGGUGUAGAGGUGAAAUUCGUAGAUAUCGAGAGGAACACCGGUGGCGAAGGCGGCCAACUGGACAGAUACUGACGCUCAAGCACGAAAGCGUGGGGAGCAAACAGG